rnacentral:rRNA from 1 species
UACAGGGGGGGCAAGCGUUGUUCGGAAUUACUGGGCGUAAAGGGCUCGUAGGCGGCCAACUAAGUCGGACGUGAAAUCCCUCGGCUUAACCGGGGAACUGCGUCCGAUACUGGAUGGCUUGAGUUUGGGAGAGGGAUGCGGAAUUCCAGGUGUAGCGGUGAAAUGCGUAGAUAUCUGGAGGAACACCGGUGGCGAAGGCGGCAUCCUGGACCAACACUGACGCUGAGGAGCGAAAGCCAGGGGAGCAAAGCGGGG